UCGUCUUCCUUGAUGAGGAGAUUGUUCAUCAAUAUUACAAUGGCUAUUGCAACAAUAUUUUGUGGCCCCUUUUCCAUUACCUUGGGCUUCCACAAGAAGAUCGACUUGCUACCACUCGGAGUUUCCAGUCGCAGUUUUCUGCAUAUAAGAAGGCAAAUCAAAUGUUUGCAGAUGUAGUUAAUGAGCACUAUGAAGAGGGUGAUGUUGUUUGGUGCCAUGACUACCAUCUUAUGUUUCUUCCAAAAUGCUUGAAGGAAUAUAACAACAAAAUGAAAGUCGGCUGGUUUCUCCACACUCCCUUUCCUUCCUCUAAAAUUCAUAGGACACUGCCAUCACGAUCAGAGCUCCUGCGCUCAGUUCUUGCAGCUGAUUUAGUUGGAUGACAACAGCAAUAGCUAUUGAAGAUGUCCGUAGAGAGGUAAAAAUACUGAAAGCAUUAUCUAGACAUAAGAAUCUGGUCAGAUUUUAUGAUGCAUUUGAGGAUGCCAAUAAUGUCUACAUAGUCAUGGAGUUGUGUAAAGGUGGAGAACUACUGGAUAAAAUUUUGUCCAGGGGUGGAAGAUACACAGAAGAAGAUGCUAAAGUUAUUGUUGUGCAAAUUUUAAGUGUUAUUGCCUAUUGUCAUCUUCAAGAUGUUGUGCAUUGAGAUCUAAAGCCAGAGAAUUUUCUUUUUGCCACAAGAGAAGAGGAUGCUUCAGUGAAGGUUAUUGAUUUUGGUCUCUCCGAUUUUAUAAGGCCUGAAAAUAUGAGGAGAUCUGUGCACCCCUGGUUGAAGAAUUUUGUUACAUUACUUAUAGGGUCCCUUAUUGAUAACACAUGUUUUAAGGAAAGAGGUAAGACUUUAUCCUACUUUGAGUGAACUGUGGGAUUUUACCCAAUGAUUGUGACUUAUAUGUUGUUUUAUACAUUUCUAGUGGGCAGUAAAAGCGCGCAAAUCAUAUAGCCAAAUUGAUAUUGACGAGGUGUGCAUUGAAGUGGCUGAUUCUAUACAGAGUUUGGUGUAAGACUUUUGGCUUCCAUGAUUUUGAGUAAGGCUAGUUUUUGCUUUGAAGCAAAGUUUGGUGUAGAACGUACUUUUGUAGUUGGUUGCUAAUAUGUUUCU